rnacentral:rRNA from 1 species
AGCGAACGCUGGCGGCAGGCCUAACACAUGCAAGUCGAACGAACCUUUCGGGGUUAGUGGCGGACGGGUGAGUAACACGUGGGAACGUGCCUUUAGGUUCGGAAUAACUCAGGGAAACUUGUGCUAAUACCGAAUGUGCCCUUCGGGGGAAAGAUUUAUCGCCUUUAGAGCGGCCCGCGUCUGAUUAGCUAGUUGGUUGAGGUAAUGGCUCACCAAGGCGACGAUCAGUAGCUGGUCUGAGAGGAUGAUCAGCCACAUUGGGACUGAGACACGGCCCAAACUCCUACGGGAGGCAGCAGUGGGGAAUCUUGCGCAAUGGGCGAAAGCCUGACGCAGCCAUGCCGCGUGAAUGAUGAAGGUCUUAGGAUUGUAAAAUUCUUUCACCGGGGACGAUAAUGACGGUACCCGGAGAAGAAGCCCCGGCUAAGUUCGUG